GAUGAACGCUGGCGGCGUGCUUAACACAUGCAAGUCGAACGAAGCACUUUAUUUGAUUUCCUUCGGGACUGAUUAUUUUGUGACUGAGUGGCGGACGGGUGAGUAACGCGUGGGUAACCUGCCUUGUACAGGGGGAUAACAGUUGGAAACGGCUGCUAAUACCGCAUAAGCGCACAGCAUCGCAUGAUGCAGUGUGAAAAACUCCGGUGGUAUAAGAUGGACCCGCGUUGGAUUAGCUAGUUGGUGAGGUAACGGCCCACCAAGGCGACGAUCCAUAGCCGACCUGGGAGGGUGACCGGCCACAUUGGGACUGAGACACGGCCCAAACUCCUACGGGAGGCAGCAGUGGGGAAUAUUGCACAAUGGGCGAAAGCCUGAUGCAGCGACGCCGCGUGAGCGAAGAAGUAUUUCGGGAUGUAAAGCUCUAUCAGCAGGGAAGAUAAUGACGGUACCUGACUAAGAAGCACCGGCUAAAUACGUG
rnacentral:rRNA from 1 species